AAAAUACUCCCUCCGUCCGAAAAUAUUUGUCGUAGAAAUGCAUAAAAAUGGAUGUAUCUAGAGCUAAAAUACAUCUAGAUACAUCCAUUCCUCCGACAAGUAUUUCCGGACGGAGGGAGUAGGUU
rnacentral:pre_miRNA from 1 species